UAGAGCAUGAACCGGUGUUCAAUCGACUUGUAAAAAAAGUCGUUUGUUCUGAGAAACACGGUUGAACUUGAUUUCAGGAUAAUACCUGCGAAAGAAUCAUGCUCUAGCAACUU
rnacentral:ncRNA from 1 species